rnacentral:lncRNA from 1 species
CCGGUCAAUUUCGAAAACAACCGAGGGGACUCAUCGCGGUUCUUCCCUGCCAGCUUGGCCCUUAGAUCCACCGAGCUAGUACUUAAACAGCUGUUUUCUCCCCUCGCCCUACUUCAGGGCUCUGACAGGCCCCCGCCGCUCCCAGAGAGGAACCUGUCAUUCCCAUCUGAGACCUCUGGUUCGAGAAGCCAAGAGAAGAUCAUCUAUGCAGAGCUGAAGAAAGUCAACCAGAAAAGCAAAGGACUGAGCCUGGAGACCCCCGGCGGCGGCGACCGAGCGGCCGUUAAAGACCCCUUCAGGGGAGACCCCCUGCAGAAACCGGAGGACGCGGGUAAAGCCCAACACACGCAGAGCCCCAAGCCCCUGACCUGGACGAAGCACCCCGAGGGUUCGAGUCCUGAAAGGAGUGACACGCUGACACAGACGUCUUGGGAUGGCCUCUGCUCCGCAAUCAACCCGGAGUCCCACAGGAAGCAGGUUCCCUUUCCCCGGUCUCCCAACCUGCCCCGGGCACCGGCCUUCUCCUCACUAAACUCUCCAGAAGCCAAGGAGAAACUGAGGUCGUCUCCCACUCCAACUUCUUCUAAGGCCUCUCCGAAGCGAGGCAGCAGGCCCAGGGUGCCCCUGGAGCCCCAAGAUGGCGAGCAGACCCGGGCCUCCUCUACCGCUGUCCUGAGGAACAUCUCGAGGUGGUCCAAAGCGAGCGAGCCCAGCUCCCCGGGCACCGUGACCCAAGGAGCCGGCUACGAAGAGUUCGGCAAAGGGGCGGCCCCUGACCCCCACCAGCCGGGGGCAAAGGAUGCAAGCGGCACUCAGAAGCCGGUCCCGGGCAUUUGGCCCAAACAAGACAGCCGGGACCGAGUUUCGGAGAGAUCGCCCAAGUCACCUCUGUUCACGGCCAGCACCGCCGGCAGCCAGGGGAGCGGGGAGGAGAGCCAGCCGGACGACACUUACGAGAAGAUCCCGGGCCACCUUUCCGAGGGGCCAGCGGCCAAACCCGUUCCCGAGGACGGUAACACCUACGAUUGCAUCUACUUCAGGAAGGGGACCGAGACCAAACGAAACCAAAAGGCUGACAAGUACAGAAGAUUCUUCUUCGCUGACAGAAAAAAAUAAAUCAUGAUGAGAGUGAUUCUUGUUCAAGUUUCCUGCCGCCCAGAGCACAGGAAGAGAAGCUCAGAUUUCUGAACCUGGGGGGUCUGAGAAGAGCCUGAAGAGCUGGAGAAGGGGGCGGUGACCCCCUCGGAACCUCCACUGCUCCUCUGCCGUCUCCGGGUGUUCUUAGUAUUCAUUCGUUCAUACAUUCGAUUGUAUUCCUUGAGCGCUUUCUGUGUGCGGAGCACUGUACUAAGCACUGGGGAGAAUACAAUACAGUAAAGACACAUUCCCUGCCCACAAUAGCUUGCAUCUUGGGAGUUGGGGGAGACAGACAUUAAUAUAAAUAUCUUACAGAUAUGUACAUAAGGGCUGUGGGGCUGGGAGGGGAAAGAACAAAGGGAGAAAGUAACGCCGAAGAGAAUGGGGGAAGAGGAAAGGGGGGUUUAGGGAAGGCCUCUUGGAGAUGUGCCUUCAAUAAGGCUCUGAAGGAGGCGAGAGUGAUUGUCUGUCGGGUUUGAGGAGGGAAGGCCUUCCGGGCCAGAGGAAGGAUGUGGGCAAGGGGUCGGAGGCGACAUAGACGAGAUGGAGGCACAGUGAGGUUAGCGUUAGAGGGGUGAAGUGGAUGGGCUGG